AGUGAACGCUGGCGGCAGGCCUAACACAUGCAAGUCGAGCGGGCAGCGGGUUCCCGCGAGGGGAUGCCGCGAGCGGCGGACGGGUGAGGAACACAUCGGAAUCUGUCCUGGGUUGUGGGGGAUAACGUAGGGAAACUUACGCUAAUACCGCAUGAGACCCUGAGUCGACGGACUGGGGGUGAAAGUGAGGGACCUUCGGGCCUCACGGACGACCAGAUGAGCCGAUGUCGGAUUAGCGUAGUUGGCGGGGUAACCGGCCCGCCAAGGCGACGAUCCGUAGCUGGUCUGAGAGGAUGAUCAGCCACACUGGGACUGAGACACGGCCCAGACUCCUACGGGAGGCAGCAGUGGGGAA
rnacentral:rRNA from 1 species